CAGCCGCCACGGUAAUACGUAGGGGGCAAGCGUUGUCCGGAAUUAUUGGGCGUAAAGCGCGCGCAGGCGGUUUUUUAAGUCUGGUGUCUAAGUGCGGGGCUCAACCCCGUGACGCACUGGAAACUGGGAGACUUGAGUGCAGAAGAGGAGAGCGGAAUUCCACGUGUAGCGGUGAAAUGCGUAGAGAUGUGGAGGAACACCAGUGGCGAAGGCGGCUCUCUGGACUGUAGCUGACGCUGAGGCGCGAAAGCGUGGGGAGCAAACAGGAUUAGAUACCCCCGUAGUCCCUGUCUCUUAUACA
rnacentral:rRNA from 1 species